CCUACGGGUGGCUGCAGUGGGGAAUAUUGGACAAUGGGGGCAACCCUGAUCCAGCCAUGCCGCGUGUGUGAAGAAGGCCCUCGGGUUGUAAAGCACUUUCAGUGAGGAAGAACGCCUGGUGGUUAAUACCCAUCAGGAAAGACAUCACUCACAGAAGAAGCACCGGCUAACUCCGUGCCAGCAGCCGCGGUAAUACGGAGGGUGCGAGCGUUAAUCGGAAUUACUGGGCGUAAAGCGCGCGUAGGUGGCUUGAUAAGCCGGUUGUGAAAGCCCCGGGCUCAACCUGGGAACGGCAUCCGGAACUGUCAAGCUAGAGUGCAGGAGAGGAAGGUAGAAUUCCCGGUGUAGCGGUGAAAUGCGUAGAGAUCGGGAGGAAUGCCAGUGGCGAAGGCGGCCUUCUGGACUGACACUGACACUGAGGUGCGAAAGCGUGGGUAGCAAACAGGAUUAGAUACCCUGGUAGUC
rnacentral:rRNA from 1 species